rnacentral:rRNA from 1 species
CAACAGGGAUUGCCCUAGUAACGGCGAGUGAAGCGGCAACAGCUCAAAUUUGAAAUCUGGCGCAAGCCCGAGUUGUAAUUUGUAGAGGAUGCUUCUGGCCAGCGGCCGUUCUAAGUUCCUUGGAACAGGACGUCAUAGAGGGUGAGAAUCCCGUAUGUGACCGGCGCGCAGCCUUUACGUAGCUCCUUCGACGAGUCGAGUUGUUUGGGAAUGCAGCUCUAAAUGGGAGGUAAAUUUCUUCUAAAGCUAAAUACCGGCCAGAGACCGAUAGCGCACAAGUAGAGUGAUCGAAAGAUGAAAAGCACUUUGGAAAGAGAGUUAAAAAGCACGUGAAAUUGUUGAAAGGGAAGCGCUUGCAACCAGACUUUGCAGCGAUGUUCCACUGGUCUUCUGACCGGUCUACUCAUCGUCGCGAGGCCAACAUCGUCUGGGUCCGCUGGAUAAGACCUAAGGAAUGUGGCUUCUCUUCGGGGAAGUGUUAUAGCCUGUGGUGAUACAGCGUGGCUCGGGCGAGGUCCGCGCUUCGGCAAGGAUGUUGGCGUAAUGGUUGUCAGCGGCCCGUCUUGAAACACGGACCAAGGAGUCUAACAUCUAUGCGAGUGUUCGGGUGUCAAACCCCUACGCGUAAUGAAAGUGAACGGAGGUGGGAAGCGCAAGCUGCACCAUCGACCGAUCCUGAUGUCCUCGGAUGGAUUUGAGUAAGAGCAUAGCUGUUGGGACCCGAAAGAUGGUGAACUAUGCCCGAAUAGGGUGAAGCCAGAGGAAACUCUGGUGGAGGCUCGCAGCGGUUCUGACGUGCAAAUCGAUCGUCAAAUUUGGGUAUAGGGGCGAAAGACUAA